rnacentral:rRNA from 1 species
AUGGAGCAAGGUGACCUCAAUUCUGUAGUUGAUACCUCAGCCGGAGAGUGGCCUGAUGUGCACAUCCAGCAGUUAGCACACAUUGCUCUCAGUUGCACUGAGCAAAACAGCAGGUACCGUCCUGUUCUUUCAGGCCAGCUCUGGACAGCAGUUGAGACCAUGAGGGAUGUUGCAAUGUUAUCUUCACAGUCAUCUUCAAGUUUGGUGCAAGAGGAAAGCAUCAUACCGUCACACUUCACCUGUUCUAUAUCUCAUGAAAUCAUGAAGGAUCCUCAGUUGACAGCGGAUGGAAUCACCUACGAAGGUAAUUCUAUCCGGGAAUGGUUUGGUAGAGGCAAAAUCACAUAGCCGUUCACCAACAAGCCACUUCAACACCAGGAGCUCAUCCCCAAUAUCGCUCUCCGUUCUGCCAUUCAGGAGUGGCUCCAACAGCACAGCAUGGUGCUGUAA